rnacentral:rRNA from 1 species
GGGCCUACGGGGGGCAGCAGUGGGGAAUAUUGCACAAUGGGGGAAACCCUGAUGCAGCGACGCCGCGUGAGUGAAGAAGUAAUUCGUUACGUAAAGCUCUAUCAGCAGGGAAGAAAUACUGACCUUACGGUCAGCAGACGGUACCUGAGUAAGAAGCCCCGGCUAACUACGUGCCAGCAGCCGCGGUAAUACGUAGGGGGCAAGCGUUAUCCGGAUUUACUGGGUGUAAAGGGAGCGUAGACGGCAGCACAAGUCUGGAGUGAAAUCCCGGGGCUUAACCCCGGAACUGCUUUGGAAACUGUGCG